GAAGGUAAAAUGAAAAGUGUUUGUGAGAGUACUUUCUGUAAAACCGGUCCACUGGAAAAACGGAAUUCCUAAUCAUCAGUCGAGUGUUUUUGCAAAAAUGUUGUCGAUUUUAUCCCGUCACGAAACUAUCACUGCCUUCCUCAAAAAAAUAAAAAAGAAGGAAAAACUGCCAGCGCCAUUUCCACCAGUGACGAAGGAAAAAAGCAGUUGGCUUCUUCUCUUUUGCGUGAAGUUGAC
rnacentral:lncRNA from 1 species